GUCAUUAUGGCCGAACGGUUACGGCGUCCCAGCUAUAUAGGGGAAACAUGAGCACUAAUGGGAAGGUCUCGGUUCGAAUCCGAGUGAUGACA